GCUUGGGGGUGGCUCUGCAAAGCACGGGACCUCUGGCAGCGAUGGGUGGGUGAGCGGGUGGAACGCCGGCAAGUCACGGAGACCCACAAGUGCAGCUGGGAAUUACCAAAUAGCUCAGCAGCACCCAGCGGGAAUACACUCGCAGGAGCAAGGAGAGCGAGCGCGGACCCAAACGUGGACGCGCUUGGCAGCAGCGGGGUGAAGUCUGCGUGCCAGUUCUGUGAAACUGCUUGGAUUUCACAAAUAGCUUUCCAUAAAGGAAGAGAGAAAUAGGGAGGAAGGAGAAAGAACUUCAGGCAAAGUCUGUAUGAAAUGCCAUUUCCCCAUCCCUUCCCUGUCACAAAUCAAGGGGGAAAACGUGGUUGGGUUUUGCAAAACUGCAGGGGUGAUUUGGGAGAGCAGGUCCCACUGACUUACUACAAGAAAUCAUCCAUCCUCUUGGAAGAAUGGGAAGUUUGCAGAGACAUUUGCUUUGCAGACCCAAUUUACCAGCUGUUCAGACACUAUUAUAAGGAUCAUAUAAAAACUUAAAUCAAUAGGGAGAUUCUGAAGCGCUUAGAUAGCAGGAUAAUAGGUGCCGUGAAAAAAAUCCUGUGAUCAAUCAGCAGACAAAUAUGUACUUAAAUUAGGUGUUAGUGGGACAGAUGCAGGAAAGGUGAUUAUGGGUUGCCUCUGUGUUUUCUUCGCAACAAUGAUGACACACCGGGGUGGGUCAAUGCACCCUAUCAUUAAUACAGCAUCAGCAUUCAGCUGACAGUUUCUUUGUCCUGUGAAGUCAAUUCCUAUGAAGAUCUGACAUUAGCAAGAGGCAGGGUGAAAUUCAGACGCCUUUGAAUUUUCAUGACCCUCUAGAUGCCUUAGCCUGGCAGAUUACAGGCAAGACCACUGUCCUAAAUUGGGCAAGAGGCAGGAAUAAACAUUUGUACCCAUCCAUUGGCAAUACCCAUCCAUCCUGUGGCAAUAAAUACCAUCGGCAAAACCAGUGGAAGAACAGCCCUUACCUCCCUCCCUCCCCAGCAAACAUAACUAGAAACGGGGUCUGCAGGGCAGCGCACAUGGGUAGAGUCAGCUAGAGCAUCCUGGAAGAGGAAGAUGCUAGAGAGAAAUGUAAUUUUUUACUAUAAUAUUUGUGAAGUAAGUAAAAGAUAAGAUCUUGAGUGUGGUUCAGGCCUCUAAAAUAAUCCUAAGAUUAAUGCAGAACUGGAGAGCUGCAUAGAGUAAAGGAGAGGGGAUUUAGCAUGCGCAGCGCACCUUCCCCAUUGCCACCUGCCACCCAGGGUGCAUGCUGGCAUCCACAAAAUUCCCGCAGGUGUUUCGGGGACCGUACAGCGCAAUCUAGACAAGAGUGAAACUUAAUUUAUUCUUACAAGGCUAUCCAAGGCAAAGCAGCCUUCCUUUUCAUUUCAAGCGAGAGAAAGCACGCUCUGGUGUAAGUGUCGUCGUCCUCCCCUGUUUUGUCGGCGGCACCGACGCCGGGGGCAUGCCUGGUUUGGGGAUCGCCCCGCUGGCAAACCAGCCGCUUUUGCAACAAAAGAGUGUGGCUGGGGAGUGCGGAACAGUAAAACUAGCUUCUUUUUUUUUCUCUUUUUUUCUUUUUUUUUCUUUUUUCUUCAAGACGCUACCAGCAGGGUGGACUAAUCCUGUAUUGCAUAAGAUUACAAACAUACAAUUAUAUUCCCCACUAAAUUAUGAAAGCUCUAAAAAUAUACAUAGAUAAAGUUUCAGCAUUAAGAAGGCAGCUGAAAAACUGGAGCAAUAUUCAUACAUAUACACAUUAUAUAAUUUAUAGUCAUGUUUUAAGGCUUCAGUAUGUAUUCAUUGACUCUAUGCAUUUGGGACUUGGAGCAUAUUGGUGUCCAUCUCCUUAACUGUUCGUAGUGCAGAUUGGCUGGAGUCGCCUAUUCUGUGAAAAAUAACACUUCUCCAGGACUGAGAGAAACCCCUUUACAUGAGAUAAUUCACAAGUACUUUUAUUUCUUUCGUUAGGUAGGAAAAUACUGCAGACCUCAUUUCACAGGAUGGGGAAACUGAGGCACGGAUGGACUGAAACUGAGUGUGAAGGGCUGCUGUGACCUGGUGGAAAAGGGCACCUACUGCAACCCAUAGAACACAGCAAGCCUUUCCAGUUAAAUAAGGAACAAUUCCUUCAUCUCUUGCCUAAAAAAUUGUAGUGUGUUAUUGGUACUCUCAUACAGUGCCGCACUUGGGAGGAACGCUAGUUCUCAUGUGAUGGGCAAGUUUUGUGGUGCUCCAACACUAAUGAGGCAGAGCGGGAGAAAUUAGGAUUAAAAAACAGGGAAUGCAAAGCUGUAAGCACGGGGGCAUGGCUGCUCGGGCUAUCUUGACUCAAAAUGGCUCAGCAUAUAUUCUACUUUAGUGCAGUGUACAAAACCAAAAAAUGGUAGCAAAUCCCCCCGCUUUUUAGGUAUUCCACAAGCACGCAUGUUUUGUGUAAACUGGAGUUUUUAAUGAAAUCUGUUGGAGGUUGAUUUACCCUAAUGUAACACCCAGGCAUGGAAGGGUGGCAGGUAUGCUGCUUCUAAUAAAGUCCAUUUAGCUUCUGACGUAGAUUACUUUAAAAAAAAUUUUAAAAAACCACUUCCCCCUCCCAAACCCACAGCAAACACACAAGUGUGAUAAAGUAUCUUGGUAUAAAAUCAAUACCGAGGUGAUUAGCAGCCUUUGAAAAAUUCUGGCUCUAAGUCAGUUCAUGGCAGAGAUCAAAUGGAGGUGCUGUCAACUCUUACUUUGCUUCUGAUAUACAACAGGUAAAAUCAUCUGCAAUGAUUCCUGUUAUUCCUGCAUUUUCUUCUUUUUCCCUGGCCUGUGUCCAGGGGGGAGGCAGGACAGCCCGCGUCCAGAGGGGAUGCCCCAGGCUGUCAAGGUUUUCAUACAGGUGCCUACACUUUGGGGGAUAACUGGAGAUAAGGCUGACCAGCUGGACCCAGGUCCCUCUGUCUGGUUCCCGGCUGCCACUGGGAGCAAUCUGGGGUCCCAGAUGGAUAGCACUGGUCGUCAGCUGGCACGCCAAGAGGAGCUCAGUCCUCUAUCGCAGAGGAGGAUUGAAGCAUUAUCUAGCCCUUCGGCUAACUCAGGCAUCAAGUGCAGUUUGUCAUAGUGCCAGAGGCCCAAGGAUGGAUACUAAGCUUGAAAAUAUUUGGGACCUCAAACCUGAUGGAGAAGAUGUGAGCCAAGGCGCGGGGAAUGCAGGGCUGGAUGGAAAUCAAAUGAAGAUGUCAAAACAGUGCUACCUCUGCCUCAGGCAAAAAGGAGACAUAGUGACCCCCCAAGUCCUUCCAAACGUGAGCUUAGCUUGCGUGAAGAGAAAGCAGCUCCGGCAUCCUCGUAAUUGAGGGCAGUGCUAGAUGAAAGAUGAGCAAAGAAAAUCAGAGGAAAAUCAUGGUGUAAGAAUCUGGAUCUGAAAUCUGCGGCUUUAAAGAGGGGAAAAAAAACAGGGAGGUUGGCAACAAGCCACCGAAAUAGCACAGAAACCCUGCUCGGAUGGGUUUAGUUUUGUGAGGACACUGAGCCAGACGAGCUGUCAGGGAGGUUAGAAAGGAGAGCAACGGAAUUUGCUUCUGACCCACCCUUUAUUUCAGCAGGAGCGGUGGCUCUUACGUCCCUUAGGCUUGUUGGAAGAAUCCCAGCCUUAAACUGCAAGAUGUGUUGAAAUACAGAUGUUAAUCAAGAUGGUGAUAGCUCAUGUGGGUUUACUUUUCCUGAAGAUAAAGUCCAUUUUAAACGUACUCAUUACUUGCUAGUAACAAAACUUUCCGUUAGUACAAGGAAAUGUAUAUUAUACCUCAGAAAUACAUGCUUCACUGAGCUUAGAGAGUAAAGAUAAAAUAGUCCUU